UACGUGGGGGGCAAGCGUUGUUCGGAAUUACUGGGCGUAAAGGGCUCGUAGGCGGCCAACUAAGUCAGACGUGAAAUCCCCAGGCUCAACCUGGGAACUGCGUCUGAUACUGGCAGGCUUGAAUUCGGGAGAGGGAUGCGGAAUUCCAGGUGUAGCGGUGAAAUGCGUAGAUAUCUGGAGGAACACCGGUGGCGAAGGCGGCAUCCUGGACCGAUAUUGACGCUGAGGCGCGAAAGCCAGGGGAGCAAACGGG
rnacentral:rRNA from 1 species